UGCAGAAUUCAGUGAAUCAUCGAAUCUUUGAACGCACAAUGCGCCCUGUGGUAUUCCGCAGGGCAUGCCUGUUCGAGCGUCAUUUCUUUUGGCGUGGACUCGCCUCAAAAUAUUGGCACGUCACCCUGGCUUCGAGCGCAGCACAUUUGCGCCUGAUAACGGCGAGUGAAGCGGCAACAGCUCAAAUUUGAAAUCUGGCUCCCUUGGGGGUCCGAGUUGUAAUUUGUAGAGGGUGCUUUGGUAUUAGCUGUGGUCUAAGACCCUUGGAACAGCGCGUCACAGAGGGUGAGAAUCCCGUAUGUGGCCWGCAGCUCUUGCCUUGUAAGCCCCUUCGACGAGUCGAGUUGUUUGGGAAUGCAGCUCUAAAUGGGAGGUAAAUUUCUUCUAAAGCUAAAUACUGGCCAGAGACCGAUAGCGCACAAGUAGAGUGAUCGAAAGAUGAAAAGCACUUUGGAAAGAGAGUCAAAAAGCACGUGAAAUUGUUGAAAGGGAAGCGCUUGCAGCCAGACUUGCCCGUAGUUGUUCAUCUAGGCUCUUGCCUAGUGCACUCUUCUGCGGGCAGGCCAGCAUCAGUCCAGGCGGGUCGGAUAAAGGCCUUGCGGAAUGUGGCUCCUUUCGGGGAGUGUUAUAGCCCAGGGUGCCAUGCGGCCAGCCUGACUGAGG
rnacentral:rRNA from 1 species